rnacentral:rRNA from 1 species
AGUUGUAUCCUGGCUCAGAACGAACGCUGGCGGCAGGCCUAACACAUGCAAGUCGAGCGCUUCACUUCGGUGAGGAGCGGCGGACGGGUUAGUAACGCGUGGGAAUAUGCCCUUCACUAUGGAAUAGCCUCGGGAAACUGAGAGUAAUACCAUAUACGCCCUUCGGGGGAAAGAUUUAUCGGUGAAGGAUUAGCCCGCGUUAGAUUAGAUAGUUGGUGGGGUAAUGGCCUACCAAGUCUACGAUCUAUAGCUGGUUUGAGAGGAUGAUCAGCAACACUGGGACUGAGACACGGCCCAGACUCCUACGGGAGGCAGCAGUGGGGAAUCUUAGACAAUGGGCGCAAGCCUGAUCUAGCCAUGCCGCGUGAGUGACGAAGGCCUUAGGGUCGUAAAGCUCUUUCGCCAGAGAUGAUAAUGACAGUAUCUGGUAAAGAAACCCCGGCUAACUCCGUGCCAGCAGCCGCGGUAAUACGGAGGGGGUUAGCGUUGUUCGGAAUUACUGGGCGUAAAGCGCACGUAGGCGGAUUGGAAAGUAGGGGGUGAAAUCCCAGGGCUCAACCCUGGAACUGCCUCCUAAACUAUCAGUCUAGAGUUCGAGAGAGGUGUGUGGAAUUCCAAGUGUAGAGGUGAAAUUCGUAGAUAUUUGGAGGAACACCAGUGGC